GUGGGGGAUAUUGCACAAUGGAGGAAACUCUGAUGCAGCGACGCCGCGUGAGUGAAGAAGUAUUUCGGUAUGUAAAGCUCUAUCAGCAGGGAAGAUAAUGACAGUACCUGACUAAGAAGCCCCGGCUAACUACGUGCCAGCAGCCGCGGUAAUACGUAGGGGGCAAGCGUUAUCCGGAUUUACUGGGUGUAAAGGGAGCGUAGACGGAAUGGCAAGUCUGAAGUGAAAUCCUGCGGCUUAACUGCAGAAUUGCUUUGGAAACUGUCAAUCUGGAGUGUUGGAGAGGUAAGCGGAAGUCCUGGUGUAGCGGUGAAAUGCGUAGAUAUCAGGAAGAACACCGGAGGCGAAGGCGGCUUACUGGACAAUAACUGACGCUGAGGCGCGAAAGCCAGGGGAGCAAACGGGAUUAGAUACCCCUGUAGUCC
rnacentral:rRNA from 1 species